UUAGAGUCAAAGGAUGGGGCCUCAACGCGUAUUUGAAUCUGAGCAUCCGGCAACAAUGGCCAGAUCAUACACAAGACGGCACCGCUACAAAAAUAGAGAUAGCAUGAAGAACUGCAAAUCACCAUACGAUGUACAGAUAUAGCAUGACCCCGAGUACAUGACACAUUUUUUGUAUUCUAACACAGCAGACUGCUGCAUCUAUCCCUUAACAGAUUUCAUCCCUUAACCAUGCGGAGCCGCAGCUCAUUCACCGCAAAUUAAGCAUGUGAACCUUGUCUCUGCAGUUCUGCACGGGGAGUGGCUAUUGCGCAGCUUUCCAGGAAAAAUGCACAAUCCCCACGCGGGUGGUAGCUCCAUGUCUGAAAGAACAGAAACAUUGAGAAAUGGUCAGAAGGAUGUUCUGGCUCCAGUCCAUAAAAGGUUAAAAGAGAAUCCGCAACAGAGAAUGCCCAAGCCAACAAUCCGGCUGAGGUCGGUGUUCCUAUUUCUAAGCAAGAAUUCAUAGCAAGAUGUUUCAAAAAUGAAAAGAGUAACUAACAAUCUGGCUCACAGAUUUUCUAGUUCAGGGGCUUGAGCACUGUUUUAUCUUAUUUUGCAGGUUUUCUUUUUCUUUUAUCUUACCACACAUAAAACAGGCACU
rnacentral:lncRNA from 1 species